rnacentral:rRNA from 1 species
UGCAAGUCGAGCGAGAAGUGACUUCGGUCGCGAGUAAAGCGGCGAACGGGUGAGUACAACGUGGAUAAUCUACCCUAGGGUCUGGGACAACCCCGAGAAAUCGGGGCUAAUACCGGAUAAGACCACAGUAUCCAAGGAUACAGCGGUAAAAGAUUUAUCGCCUUUGGAUGAGUCCACGCCCCAUCAGGUAGUUGGUAAGGUAAAGGCUUACCAAGCCUAAGACGGGUAGCCGGCCUUAGCGGGUGAACGGCCACGUGGGGACUGAGACACGGCCCUGACUCCUACGGGAGGCAGCAGUGGGGAAUAUUGGGCAAGGGGCGAAAGCCUGACCCAGCGAUGCCGCGUGAGGGAUGAAGGCCUUCGGGUUGUAAACCUCUGUCAGGAGGGACGAUGGGACACUUGUGUCUUGACGGUACCUCCAGAGGAAGCCCCGGCUAACUCCGUGCCAGCAGCCGCGGUAAUACGGAGGGGGCAAGCGUUGCUCGGAAUUACUGGGCGUAAAGGGUCCGCAGGCUGUCAGGCAAGUUGGUUGUGAAAUCCCAAGGCUUAACCUUGGAAUUGCAUCCAAAACUGCCUGACUAGAGUCCAAGAGAGGUUGGCGGAAUUCCCGGUGUAGCGGUGAAAUGCAUAGAUAUCGGGAGGAACACCAGAGGCGAAGGCGGCCAACUGGCUUGGUACUGACGCUCAGGGACGAAAGCGUGGGUAGCAAACCGGAUUAGAUACCCGGGUAGUCCACGCCCUAAACGAUGGAUGCUAGGUGGGGGGAAUUUAAUUCUCCCUGCCGUAGUUAACGCAUUAAGCAUCCCGCCUGGGGAGUACGGUCGCAAGGCUGACACUCAAAAGGAAUUGGGCGGGGCGCCCGCACAAGCGGUGGAGCACGUGUUUUAAUUCGAUGCUAAGCGAAAAACCUUACCAAGACUUGACAUGU